rnacentral:rRNA from 1 species
UACGUAGGGGGCAAGCGUUGUCCGGAAUCAUUGGGCGUAAAGAGCGUGUAGGCGGCCUGAUAAGUCGGUUGUGAAAGUCAAGGGCUCAACCCUUGAAUGCCGGCCGAUACUGUCAGGCUAGAGUCCGGAAGAGGCGAGUGGAAUUCCUGGUGUAGCGGUGAAAUGCGCAGAUAUCAGGAGGAACACCGAUGGCGAAGGCAGCUCGCUGGGACGGUACUGACGCUGAGACGCGAAAGCGUGGGAGCGAACAGG